UGGGGAAUAUUGCACAAUGGGCGCAAGCCUGAUGCAGCCAUGCCGCGUGUAUGAAGAAGGCCUUCGGGUUGUAAAGUACUUUCAGUCGGGAGGAAGGUGGUAAGGUUAAUAACCUUAUCAAUUGACGUUACCGACAGAAGAAGCACCGGCUAACUCCGUGCCAGCAGCCGCGGUAAUACGGAGGGUGCAAGCGUUAAUCGGAAUUACUGGGCGUAAAGCGCACGCAGGCGGUUGAUUAAGUCAGAUGUGAAAUCCCCGGGCUUAACCCGGGAAUUGCAUUCGAAACUGGCAGGCUAGAGUCUUGUAGAGGGGGGUAGAAUUCCAGGUGUAGCGGUGAAAUGCGUAGAGAUCUGGAGGAAUACCGGUGGCGAAGGCGGCCCCCUGGACAAAGACUGACGCUCAGGUGCGAAAGCGUGGGGAGCAAACAGG
rnacentral:rRNA from 1 species